rnacentral:rRNA from 1 species
GCCUACGGGACGCAGCAGUGGGGAAUAUUGGACAAUGGGCGCAAGCCUGAUCCAGCCAUGCCGCGUGAGUGAUGAAGGCCCUAGGGUUGUAAAGCUCUUUCGCCGGUGAAGAUAAUGACUGUAGCCGGUAAAGAAGCCCCGGCUAACUUCGUGCCAGCAGCCGCGGUAAUACGAAGGGGGCUAGCGUUGUUCGGAAUUACUGGGCGUAAAGCGCACGUAGGCGGACAUUUAAGUCAGGGGUGAAAUCCCGGAGCUCAACUCCGGAACUGCCUUUGAUACUGGGUGUCUCGAGUAUGGAAGAGGUAAGUGGAAUUGCGAGUGUAGAGGUGAAAUUCGUAGAUAUUCGCAGGAACACCAGUGGCGAAGGCGGCUUACUGGUCCAUUACUGACGCUGAGGUGCGAAAGCGUGGGGAGCAAACAGGAUUAGAUACCCGGGUAC